rnacentral:rRNA from 1 species
AGGAGGGAGGCGGCUUGUACACAAUGACGCCAGUAUUGGCGCAGGCCUCUAUAGGAUACCACCCUUGUAGUACUGGGACUCUAACCAUAGGCCAUGAAUCUGGUCUUGGGACACUGGCAGGUGGGCAGUUUGACUGGGGCGGUCGCCUCCCAAAAGGUAACGGGGGCGCUCAAAGGUUCUCUCAGUACGGUCGGAAAUCGUACGUAGAGUGUAAAGGCAAAAGAG